rnacentral:rRNA from 1 species
UACGUAGGUGGCAAGCGUUAUCCGGAUUUACUGGGUGUAAAGGGCGUGUAGGCGGGGACGCAUGUCAGAUGUGAAAACCACGGGCUCAACCUGUGGCCUGCAUUUGAAACUGUGUUUCUUGAGUACUGGAGAGGCAGACGGAAUUCCUAGUGUAGCGGUGAAAUGCGUAGAUAUUAGGAGGAACACCAGUGGCGAAGGCGGUCUGCUGGACAGCAACUGACGCUGAGGCGCGAAAGCGUGGGGAGCAAACAGG